rnacentral:lncRNA from 1 species
AGUUACUAAUAUAAUUAAAAUAUUUAUAUUUAAACCUUUAACUUAUUAAAAUAUUAAUAUAUUUUUUUUAACAUUUAAAAUAGCUGGGUCCGAGUCUAGCCGGGUCUGGCUAAUCUAGACCCGGCCCUGGACCACUAACUGGCCGGGUCAGGACCCGGACCAUCCGGGUCUAAACCCUUUACUGGGUCCGAAAUUGGUCCCAGACAACCUUAGUUGUUGUUAUCAUCUCUAAUUUAUCAUACAACAGAUUAUAUUUUAAACUCUGGAUUAUUAGUUACACGCUCCUUUAGUUUAUCCCGAUAGGGUAUUGGAUCCUUAGAUCUGUAUCAAGAAAUCGAUGAAACCUGGUCGGAUCCGAUGUCUCUGAUUUAGGAUCGGAUUCGAUCUAGAUGAGAAGAGACUCGAACUAUAGUUCCCUAUGGAGGGAGGAUCGGAUGAGGCAGAGAGCGUCUGGAUGAAUCCAGAGGUCUGGGUGCGCGAGCAGUGAGGUAAACGGAUGGAUUGUCACACUGGAGAUGUUCUGGAGGCGGAGAUCGCGGAUGGUCAGAGCCGUCGAGUGGGUGGAGAGGAUUUAGAUGGGAAUUUUUAUAUUUUAUUUCAUUGCCUCAAAAAUUACAAACCUUGCCCUUAUAGGGAAAUUAUAAGGGAUAUUGAAUGUAAAUUACCAAAUACUAGAGUCUUGCAAUUUAAUCAAAACUAAUUAUAAACACAUGCAAUUUCACCUAUCAUAAUCGGUUACCCAAAUAGAGGGUUUCCUGAUCCGACCCGUGCGAGUCCGGAUAACCUCCUCCUGGACGAGCUCUAAUUCCUCGUCGGGAUUUACCUGCUCUGAAAACGAUGACGCCGGCGUCCCUCCGAUCUCCGGUUGGUCCAUCAGUUCUGCGGAAUUGUCUAAGUUUAUGGCGAUGGUUUCGGUGAUGGUUACGGCUGCAUCCGUAACAUGGCUACCUCCCCAAAGAUUCACCUUGUCCUCAAGGUGGAUGGACAGGAAUGCUCUUUUCAGUUCUAUUUCAUCUUCCCAGGAAGAGUCUUCUAAGAGAGAGUUGCUCCAAUUGACCUAAUUUGUGGAUUGUGAUGGGUCUGGUUUGUAGGAAAUCAGUGUUAGGUGGUUUAUUCCUCACUUCAAAACAGAAACACACAUCUAAACUCAUCCUUUCCUUUAAUCUUCUGGCAUUAAGCACAAUUUUUCAAUCGUUGUGUAUCCUGUCUCAUACUACAGUCCAGUUUACUUACUCUUCAUGAAUUUCUGCACAUCUUUCUUUUUUGAUAGAAUUCUGGCCAUAAAGAAUUUAGGAACAUGAGUUGACUCGUUCCUAUAUCAUUUGUAAAAAACCAUGCCUAGUUUCCCACCUUAUCUAAUUUUAAUGAAAAUUUAAAAUUUGACUUAAAAAAAAAAAUUCUUUCCCGUUAUGAAAAUCACACAAUCUCUAAUAUCAACAGUGAUAGAUCCAAACAUGUUUCCUUAUGAAAUUUUAUUUCAAUUUUCUGGUACACGGAUAAAAUAUAUGGGCUAUCUCAGUCAGCCACCCAUUC